CUAGCUGUAAACGUUGGGUACUGGGUAUUGGGGGGCAACAAACCCUCAGUGCCGAAGCGAACGCGUUAAGUAUCCCGCCUGGGGACUACGGCCGCAAGGUUAAAACUCAAAGGAAUUGAC
rnacentral:rRNA from 1 species